rnacentral:lncRNA from 1 species
CGUCCGUGUUUAUGCUUUAACGUGUGUUUACGUUGCAUCCAGCAUCCUAAAAUAAUGACGAUAUUUUCCAGUCAGAUCGAAUCACAGCAAAUGAUUUAACCGAUGGUGCAGUAGAGUGUCCUGAAGACUCCAGAUCCUCCACUUCCUCCCCCUCUUGAUCCAGACCCAUAUAAUGUGGCCCCUCUAUACCUAUCAUCACCUACUAGCCUUUCUCCUCACGUUCCUCAGCUAUGUCCUGCUUCACUCGUCACGAAAGACUUUUAGUAAUGUGAAAGUGAGCAUCUCAGCACAGUGGACGCCAUCAGCAUUGCAGCAGAAUGGCAGCACUUCAUCUUUGUCUCCUGGGG